AGUUCGAGACGAACCACAACCCCGGGAUGUCGACUACAUCCGGGAGUUUCCAUCACCGCCUGGGAGGGCCUCGGAGGAAACGCAUCAUUGAAAUGCAGAGCGUGACCCUAGGCCUCCCUGAGAACGGCAUUUUGGGGGGUUAA
rnacentral:misc_RNA from 1 species